AAGCGGCAACAGCUCAAAUUUGAAAUCUGGCGCAAGCCCGAGUUGUAAUUUGUAGAGGAUGCUUCGGCGUCGGCCCCGUUCUAAGUUCCUUGGAACAGGACGUCCUAUAGGGUGAGAACCCCGUCUUCGAUCGGGUCGCCGUCGCCAUGUGAAGCUCCUUCGACGAGUCGAGUUGUUUGGGAAUGCAGCUCUAAGCGGGAGGUAAAUUUCUUCUAAAGCUAAAUAACGGCCAGAGACCGAUAGCGCACAAGUAGAGUGAUCGAAAGAUGAAAAGCACUUUGGAAAGAGAGUUAAAAAGUACGUGAAAUUGUUGAAAGGGAAAGCUCCAGCUGCCAGACUUUGGGGCCCGGCGGCCCUUCUUUCGGGUGGGCGGCGGGGCAAGGGCCCAGGCCAUUCAGUCCCGGGGCGGGCCCUUGGAUAAAAGGACCUUUUGGGAAAUGGUAGGCUCCCCUUCGGGGAGUGUUAUAGCCUCGGGGUGUAAUGGGGGUCAGGCCUGGGACUGAGGAUCGCGUUCGCUAGGAUGCUGGCGUAAUGGCAGUUUGCGACCCGUCUUGAAA
rnacentral:rRNA from 1 species